AAAGUACUCCAUCCGUCCCAAAAUUCUUGUCUUAGAUUUGUCUACAUAUAAAUAUAUCUAUUCAUAUUUUAGUGUUAGAUACAUCCGUAUCUAGAUAAAUAUAAGACAAAGAGUUUUGGACGAAGGGAGUAUAUU
rfam:Triticum aestivum genome assembly, contig: Triticum_aestivum_CS42_TGACv1_scaffold_513165_6BS